rnacentral:rRNA from 1 species
UACGGGGGGGGUAAGCGUUGUUCGGAAUUACUGGGCGUAAAGGGCUCGUAGGCGGCCAACUAAGUCGGAUGUGAAAUCCCCAGGCUUAACCUGGGAACUGCAUCCGAUACUGGAUGGCUUGAAUUCGGGAGAGGGAUGCAGAAUUCCAGGUGUAGCGGUGAAAUGCGUAGAUAUCUGGAGGAAUACCGGUGGCGAAGGCGGCAUCCUGGACCGAGAUUGACGCUGAUGAGCGAAAGCUAGGGGAGCAAACGGG